CCUACGGGAGGCAGCAGUGGGGAAUAUUGGACAAUGGGCGCAAGCCUGAUCCAGCAAUGCCGCGUGAGUGAUGAAGGCCUUAGGGUCGUAAAGCUCUUUUACCAGGGAUGAUAAUGACAGUACCUGGAGAAUAAGCUCCGGCUAACUCCGUGCCAGCAGCCGCGGUAAUACGGAGGGAGCUAGCGUUGUUCGGAAUUACUGGGCGUAAAGCGUACGUAGGCGGUUAUUCAAGUCAGAGGUGAAAGCCCGGGGCUCAACCCCGGAACGGCCUUUGAAACUAGGUAGCUAGAAUCUUGGAGAGGUCAGUGGAAUUCCGAGUGUAGAGGUGAAAUUCGUAGAUAUUCGGAAGAACACCAGUGGCGAAGGCGACUGACUGGACAAGUAUUGACGCUGAGGUACGAAAGCGUGGGGAGCAAACAGGAUUAGAUACCCUGGUAGUCCACGCCGUAAACGAUGAUAACUAGCUGUUCGGGCACUUGGUGCUUGAGCGGCGCAGCUAACGCAUUAAGUUAUCCGCCUGGGGAGUACGGUCGCAAGNUUAAAACUCAAAUGAAUUGAGG
rnacentral:rRNA from 1 species